rnacentral:rRNA from 1 species
GGACGAACGCUGGCGGCGUGCUUACCACAUGCAAGUCGAACGGAAAGGCCCUGCUUGCUGGGUACUCGAGUGGCGAACGGGUGAGUAACACGUGGGUGAUCUGCCCUGCACUUCGGGAUAAGCCUGGGAAACUGGGUCUAAUACCGGAAAGGAGCCAUUUUUAGUGUGAUGGUUGGAAAGUUUUUUCGGUGUAGGAUGAGCUCGCGGCCUAUCAGCUUGUUGGUGGGGUAAUGGCCUACCAAGGCGGCGACGGGUAGCCGGCCUGAGAGGGUGGACGGCCACAUUGGGACUGAGGUACGGCCCAGACGCCUACGGGAGGCAGCAGUGGGGAAUAUUGCACAAUGGGCGCAAGCCUGAUGCAGCGACGCCGCGUGGGGGAUGACGGCCUUCGGGUUGUAAACUCCUUUCGCUAUGGACGAAGCUUUUUGUGACGGUACCUAGAUAAGAAGCACCGGCUAACUACGUG